rnacentral:rRNA from 1 species
AUUGAACGCUGGCGGCAUGCUUUACACAUGCAAGUCGAACGGUAACAGGCCGCAAGGUGCUGACGAGUGGCGAACGGGUGAGUAAUGCAUCGGAACGUGCCCAGUCGUGGGGGAUAACGCAGCGAAAGCUGCGCUAAUACCGCAUACGAUCUAUGGAUGAAAGCGGGGGACCGUAAGGCCUCGCGCGAUUGGAGCGGCCGAUGUCAGAUUAGGUAGUUGGUGGGGUAAAGGCUCACCAAGCCAACGAUCUGUAGCUGGUCUGAGAGGACGACCAGCCACACUGGGACUGAGACACGGCCCAGACUCCUACGGGAGGCAGCAGUGGGGAAUUUUGGAAAAUGGGAGCAAGCCUGAUCCAGCAAUGCCGCGUGCAGGAAGAAGGCCUUCGGGUUGUAAACUGCUUUUGUACGGAACGAAACGGUCUGGGUUAAUACCUCGGGCUAAUGACGGUACCGUAAGAAUAAGCACCGGCUAACUACGUGCCAGCCGCCGCCGUAAAAC